rnacentral:lncRNA from 1 species
CAUUAUCAAGGUAUCACCUACACAAGCAACAAACAAGUUAGUUUAAAAUCCCUCUCCUCACUCACACUCUCUUGGUUCACUCACACUCAAGUUCCACAAGAGUUGUAGAUUUGCUAGGAAACCGUGAAUCCAUAAGGUAUGAGUAUGCUCUUUCCCGGAAUGGAUUCUUGUUUGAAACUCAAAGAAUUCUCGUCGGACUAGAGCCAAAAGUUACAACGUAUUCAAACGACAAAAGCACACAAACAAACGUUGACACGAACACAAGGCUUCAAGUCACUAAUUGACAAGCUAGUAGGAAUGUACUAGUUUGUUAAUUAGUUCUCAAGUCAAUUAGAGGAAACUAGGAAUCAAUAAUUAGAAACUAGAACAUCCAAAUUUGAGCUUAAUUAUCACGUGAACAGUAACUAGGGUGACGUGGCAGCAUGUCAAUGGCCGCGGGUCCACAUAAAUAGUUCAUCAACUUGAAGUCUUAGUCCCCUUAGAUCUUUUGUAAUGGAUGACUUGUUAUUGGGAUGGAAAACAUAAAGUGUUGUAACAUUUUUCAAACCCCUUUUUUUUUCUUUUUUUUUUCCAAACUCAAAAGGUGAUGUUUGACCUCACUAGUCCCACA